UGGGGAACAUUGGACAAUGGGGGAAACCCUGAUCCAGCAAUGCCGCGUGAGUGAAGAAGGCCUUAGGGUUGUAAAGCUCUUUCGCCCGCGAAGAUAAUGACGGUAGCGGGAGAAGAAGCCCCGGCUAACUCCGUGCCAGCAGCCGCGGUAAUACGGAGGGGGCUAGCGUUGUUCGGAAUUACUGGGCGUAAAGCGUACGUAGGCGGAUGCGCAAGUUGGGGGUGAAAUCCCGGGGCUUAACCUCGGAAUUGCCCUCAAAACUGCACGUCUUGAGACCGAGAGAGGUAAGGGGAAUUCCUAGUGUAGAGGUGAAAUUCGUAGAUAUUAGGAAGAACACCAGUGGCGAAGGCGCCUUACUGGCUCGGUACUGACGCUGAGGUACGAAAGCGUGGGGAGCAAACA
rnacentral:rRNA from 1 species